rnacentral:ncRNA from 1 species
CGGGUUGUUUGGGAAUGUCGCCCAAACGGGUGGUAAACUCCAUCUAAGGCUAAAUACGGUCACGAGACCGAUAGCGAACAAGUACCGUGAGGGAAAGUUGAAAAGCACUUUGGAGAGAGAGUUAAAAAGUACGUGAAACCGUCGAGAGGCAAACGGGAGGGCCUGUCGGGUCGUUCGGUCGCUUUCAGGCGGGCCGGAGACCGGGUCGCGGGAUCGGGGACCUUCGCGGGCCUCGACUCGCGUCGCCGGCCGACGGCUCGGCGCACUAGCGUCGGACGAGGGCCGCGACCGGCUGGGCGGCGGGCAAACGGCUCCGGGCAAGGUAACCCCGCUUCGGCGGGGUGCUACAGGCCCGGUGCGCGCAAGGGUCGCCGCCCGGUCGAGGAGAGAUGCGCGCCGCACCUGCCCCGUUCGCGGGGCCGGGGAAGCCGUUCGAGCAGCGUCGUGUCGCGGUCCGGGACUGUCCUCAGUCCCGGGUCGUCUCGGCGCGGUUCCGAGCGGUCGCUCCCUCGCGAGGUGCCGCGGGUCAGCGGCUGACGCCAGCCACCUUCCCGACCCGUCUUGAAACACGGACCAAGGAGUCGAUCGUCAAAAUUGGGUAUAGGGGCGAAAGACUAAUCGAACCGUCUAGUAGCUGGUUCCCUUCGAAGUUUCCCUCAGGAUAGCUGGCGCUCUGUCGCAGUUUUAUCUGGUAAAGCGAAUGAUUAGAGGUCUUGGGGGCGAAACGCCCUCAACCUAUUCUCAAACUUUAAAUUGGUAAGAAGCCCGACUCGCUCGUUUGGAGCCGGGCAUGGAAUGCGAGUGCCAAGUGGGCCACUCUUGGUAAGCAGGACUGGCGAUGCGGGAUGAACCGAACGCCGGGUUAAGGCGCCCGACGCGACGCUCAUCAGAGCCCACAAAAGGUGUUGGUUGAUAUAGACAGCAGGACGGUGGCCAUGGAAGUCGGAAACCGCUAAGGAGUGUGUAACAACUCACCUGCCGAAUCAAUCAGCCCUGAAAAUGGAUGGCGCUGGAGCGUCGGGCCUAUACCCGAACGUCGCGGCGGUACGAGCAUUGAGUUGG